GAAAAACUCCAUUCGUUUCAUUUCUUUGAGAUUUUCCAUCUUCUUUCUUUCAAAUUUUCUUGCAAACUAACCCCUAGAAAACAUAGUUGGCGUUUUGAUAAGGACUCUUUUCUUUUAAACGUUUUAGCAUCUCAUAUCAUGUUUACAUGUCUUGAAUGUCUUGUUGAGCCAUUAAUAUGGCCUUUUAAAGAUAUUAAUAAUGUCG
rnacentral:lncRNA from 1 species